GACGAACGCUGGCGGCGUGCUUAACACAUGCAAGUCGAACGGAAAGGCCCUGCUUUUGUGGGGUGCUCGAGUGGCGAACGGGUGAGUAACACGUGAGUAACCUGCUCUUGACUUUGGGAUAACUUCAGGAAACUGGGGCUAAUACCGGAUAGGAGCUCCUGCUGCAUGGUGGGGGUUGGAAAGUUUCGGCGGUUGGGGAUGGACUCGCGGCUUAUCAGCUUGUUGGUGGGGUAGUGGCUUACCAAGGCUUUGACGGGUAGCCGGCCUGAGAGGGUGACCGGCCACAAUGGGACUGAGAUACGGCCCAGACUCCUACGGGAGGCAGCAGUGGGGAAUAUUGCACAAUGGGCGGAAGCCUGAUGCAGCAACGCCGCGUGCGGGAUGACGGCCUUCGGGUUGUAAACCGCUUUCGCCUGUGACGAAGCGUGAGUGACGGUAAUGGGUAAAGAAGCACCGGCUAACUACGUG
rnacentral:rRNA from 1 species